rnacentral:sRNA from 1 species
AGCAUGGUAUCUGCUGCGGGGCUAUAAAGUGAAUAUGGCUGUCAAUGCCACCGGCAGUCACAAUUAGAUUCUCUCCCGCCAGAGCCUCCGUUGAUGCGCCAAUCGUCAUUCCAGGUGUCACACCAUCCAUCAGAUCUGGAUUUCCUGCUUUUCCUAUUCCAACGAUUUUCCCAUCCUUGAUGCCGAUAUCAGCCUUGAUAAUACCUGUAUAAUCAAGAAUCAGGCAGUUUGUGAUGACCAGAUCCAGCACCCCGUCUUUACUGCAGGCUUUUACGGACUGUCCCAUUCCAUCGCGGAU